GAGAGGCGAGCAACGAGCGGGCGGCGACGGGGGACGACGGGGCGGAGAGAGGAGGAGGAGGCGACGGCGCAGAGGAUUCUCCGGCGCCGCCCGCCCUCCCGCACGCUCGCAGCUCGCAGCUCGUGGCGCCGUCCUCCCCCCGUCGCUGCCCGCCGCCCGCCGCUAUACCAUCCCAUUCUUGCCGCCCGGGAAGACACUCAGCCCAAUCCCAUGCGCCUGUACAGUUGUGCGGGAGGAGCAAGGGCCAAGAGCACGGCACCUGCCCCUCGGCAUCGGACACGCUGGCCUCCUCACUGCUCUCUCCUUCUUGUGCUUGUGCAGGCAGGAGGCUACAUUUGCUGCAAGCUAGAGAGAGCUAUUGUGCGUCGGAUUGGGAGCUCACAUGCCAUCAGGAAACUAGAUUUCUGUUUAACUUGUGUCCCAUGGUUAGAUAAAUGCAUGCGCCAAGUUUAGUAAUGACAAAGUGCUUCCAUCUUGCUAAAAAUAGUGAAAUAAAAUUAAUCGAAAAACUUUGGCACUGCCUACCCAAACUGACUCUUUAAUUUGAUCUUGGUACAUGAGUUCAAUUUUGGUGCCAACAAAUUGACUUGUUUUUCCAUGAACCCAUGCAUUUAAUUGAUGAUACUUACAAGUUGUCAUUUUACGAGUGAGAAUUGUUUGAACAGGUAUGAUAAUCAUAGGAGGUCCCAUCAAAGAAAAGUUUUUUUUUUCGAAUGUGGUAUUUACAUUCUGUUGCAACACACAAGUACUUGGCUAGUCAUAGAAGCAAACCAAAAGUUUUCUCUGGCGAUGACAAAGAUGCGCAAAACAUGAUCUGAGAACCAAAGGCUGCUCAUCACCCACUUGGCAUCUUGGGCAUGUCACAUUACAUACAGAAAUGCAUUGCCUUAAUCUUUCCUUUACAUGGUUUAAUUUUCUCCUCUUAAUCAUCUACAUGCUAAUGAUUAAUCACCCAAACUAUGUUGCGCCAUUAAGUAACAUCAUCAGCUCAGCUGCAGUCCACACAGAGCGAAGGCAGCAGCAGCAGUGCCUUUUAAUCAUCUAUACAUUGCAGCUGCAGGUGCAGCAGCCAUGGAGGAUGGAGGCAGCAGAGACUCUGAUCAUGGCGUGGAGACGUCGUCGCCGCCGAAGCUGUAGGGAGCGGAGCUGGAGCAGGUGGUGCUGGUGCUGCUGACCUUGGAGGCGUCGUACUCCUGGCUGAGGCAGCGCAGCCGGUUGAGCUCCGGCAAGAUCUCCUUCCCGAGGUCCGGCCGGUCCUUCUUCCUCAGCUCGGCGCACCGCAGCGCCAGCUUGGCGAACACCAAGGCCUCCUCCACCGGCCAGUCGGUCACCAUCGGGUCGAGCACCUCCUGGAAGGUCCCCCUCUCGAUGGCGCUCUCGACGUGGUGGGUGAGCCCCAUGGGCGACCUCGCCGUGAUGAUCUGCAGCAGCAGGAUCCCCAGUGAGUAGAUGUCGGACAUGGUGGUCAGCAUCCCGGUCUGCUGGUACUCCGGGUCGAUGUAGCAGAAGGUGCCCGCCGUCGAGGUCAUCCGGUACUGCGUGGCCUCGGCGGCGGCAGCGGACUGCGGGACGAGGCGGGCGAGGCCGACGUCGCUGAUCUUGCUGACGAAGUUGUGGUCGAGGAGGAUGUUGGCCGGCUUCAGGUCGCGGUGGACCAGCGGCUCGGGCUUCGCCUGGUGGAGGAAGAGGAGGCCGGUGGCGAUGUCGGCGGCGAUGCGGAACCGGAUGUUCCAGGGGAUCGGCAGCGUCUUCCCCCGCCGGCACAGCCGGUCCUCCAGGCUGCCGUAGUCCAUGUACUCGUACACCAGGCACCCGUACUCCGGGCAUGCUCCCAGCAGCAGC
rnacentral:lncRNA from 1 species